AACGAACGCUGGCGGCAGGCCUAACACAUGCAAGUCGAGCGAAGCCUUCGGGCUUAGCGGCGGACGGGUGAGUAACGCGUGGGGAACGUGCCCUUUGGUACGGAAUAGCCCCGGGAAACUGGGAGUAAUACCGUAUGUGGUCGAGAGACGAAAGAUUUAUCGCCAAAGGAUCGGCCCGCGUUGGAUUAGGUAGUUGGUGGGGUAAUGGCCUACCAAGCCGACGAUCCAUAGCUGGUUUGAGAGGAUGAUCAGCCACACUGGGACUGAGACACGGCCCAGACUCCUACGGGAGGCAGCAGUGGGGAAUCUUAGACAAUGGGGGAAACCCUGAUCUAGCCAUGCCGCGUGAUCGAUGAAGGCCUUAGGGUUGUAAAGAUCUUUCAGUGGGGAAGAUAAUGACUGUACCCACAGUAGAAGCCCCGGCUAACUCCGUGCCAGCCGCCGCGGUAACAC
rnacentral:rRNA from 1 species